UUGCUCAUUUUGGCAGCACAUAUACUAAAACUAGAACAAUAUAGAGAAGAUUAGCAUGGCCCCUGCACAAGGAUGACAUGCAAAUCCGUGAAGCAUUCCAUAUUUAA
rnacentral:snRNA from 1 species